rnacentral:rRNA from 1 species
CAAUAGUGUAUCUUAACGUUGUUGCAGUUAAAAAGCUCGUAGUUGAAUUUCUGGGGGGGUGUUUCAAGGUACGUCCUGAUUCUGCCCUCUCAUCCGCUUUGGAACCAGGAGGGGUAUUUAGUUAUCGGCCUGGGGAAGGGGCAUUUUACUUUGAAGAAAUUAGAGUGUUCCAGGCAGGCUUUGCUUGAAUACAUCAGCAUGGAAUAAUGGAAUAGGACAAUGUUCAUUUUAUUGGCUAUUGAACUUGUAAUGAUUAACAGGGACAGUUGGGGGCAUUCGUAUUCUGUUGUCAGAGGUGGAAUUCUUGGAUUAACUGAAGACGAACUAAUGCGAAAGCAUUUGCCAAGGAUGUUUNCAUUAA